CAUGAAGGGAACUCCAGAAUUUUCUUGAUUUUUAAGGCUGAAUCAUAUUCUGUUUGUAUGUAUGUACUGCAUUUUGUUUAUCCAUUUAUCUGUGGACACUUCCCCCCACAUUUUGGCUAUUGUUAAUUAUUACUGCUGCUACGAACAUGGGUAUACAAAUAUCUGUUUGAGUCCCUGUUUUUAAUUCUUUUGGGUAUAUACCCAUAUACCCAGAAGUAGAAUUGCUGGAUCAUAUGGUGUUUCUAUUUUUAACUUUUUAAAAACAUUAUUAUUAUUUUUUCCUUUUUAGAGCCACACUUGCAGCAUAUGGAAGUUCCCAGGCUAGGGGUUGAAUUGGAGAUUUAGCUGCCGGCCUACACCACAGCCACAGCACCAGACCCAAGCUGAGUCUGUGACCUACACCACAGCCCACAGCAAUUCAGGAUCCUUAACCCACUGAGAGAGGCCAGGGAUUGAACCCAAGUCCUCAUGGUUCCUAGUCAGGUUUAUUAUCGCUGAGCCACAACAGAGACUCCUAGUUUUAAUGUUUUGAGAAACUGCCAUAUUAUGGAAUAGUGACUGCACCACCAUAAUUUUAAUGGAGAGAAUGACAGGAUACUGUUUAAUCAAUUAUUUGUAAAUUUCACUCUGAAAAAGUGAGUUGAGAACUUGAAAUAGUCCAACAAAAAGCAGCUCUAAAAGGUGGCUGCAGCUCCGAUUUGACCCCUAGCCUGGGAACUUCCAUGUGGGGCAGGCGAGGCCCUGAAAAGUAAUUAAACAAAAGCAAAAAACUUUUUUUUUUUUUUUUGUCUUUUGUCUUUUUUUGUCUUUUGUUGUCGUUGUUGUUGCUAUUUCUUGGGCCGCUCCCGCGGCAUAUGGAGGUUGCAGACGCAGCUCGGAUCCUGUGUUGCUGUUGCUGUGGCUGCGGUGUAGGCCAGCGGCUGCAGCUCCAAUUAGACCCCUAGACUGGGAACCUCCAUAUGCCGAGGGAGCAGCCCUAGAAAAGGCAAAAAAAAGAAAGACAAAAAAAAAAAGCUACAGUUCUGGCUGACCAGAGGCAAACUGGGAGGUGUGGGGUGGAGGUAGGGGGUGGAGGUGUGUAAAGGAAUUUCGUGGGUUUAAAAAAUAGGAAAGCAUUGAUGAAUUGUGAGAGUUUUGUUUUUUUUUUUUAAGUUCUUGCUACCUUUCUAUAGUAAAGAGAUGCAUUCAUGUGGAAGUUCCAAAUCUUUUUCUGUUUUAAUUGUAUAAUUUCUAAACUUUUUUUUUUCUUUUCUUUUUUCUUUUAGGGCCCAAGCUGCGGCAUACUGAAGUUUCCAGGCUAGGGGUUGAAUUGGGGCUGCAUCUGCAACCUAGACCACACACAGCUCAUACCAACUUUGGAUCCUUAACCCUCUGAGCUAGGCCAGGGAUUGAAUCCGCAUCCUCGUGAAUACUAGCCAGGUUCAUUACUGGGGAGCCACAGUGGUGGUUCAGAACUCCCUAAACUUUUUUAAGAUUGAGAUGUAGAGCAAAAAUCAUUUGAUCAAACUUUUGAGACUGUGUUUGAUUUGUUUCAGACGUGAAAACAGUUAUUCAAACAGAAUUGCAGUUGCUAUUAAAUACUUCCAGUUAUUAGAUUACCUCUUUCUUUUUUUUCUUUUUUCUUUAUUUUUGUCGUUUUGUGUUUUUAGGGCAUAACCCACUGAGCCAUGCCAGGGAGCGAACCCACAUCCUCAUGGAUGCUAGUCGUUUUCACUCACCGCUGAGCCACAACACGAACUCCCUAGAUUACCUCUUUCUUUGGGUUCAGAUGAGCAAAACAAAAAAGCCUUCUCCCUCCCCCACCGCUUAAGCUUUCAAUUAAUGUCAUGCUAUUUUUUUCCCUCUAGAUGUGUUUAUUUUACUUAUAAUUUUUCUUUGAGAACAAAACGGGUGGCGUAGCCAUUUAGAUUAGUGUCAUAUGUAGGUCUCAUAUUUUUUUCUAUUUCUUUGUUGCUGAUAAUAUAGAGUCAUAGAUCAUGGCUUUACUCAAGUGAAGAAAAAACAACUCUCAAAGUAGUAAUACUUUAUUUUAGGUCUUUUCCGAAGCAGAACUUAUCUGUUUUGCUAAAAAAGUAUUCUUUCUGGAUCUAGUUCCAGUGGUCACAGAUUAAGAGAACCUUUAUUUCUUCUCUACUUUGGCAUUGAUUUUGAUGUUACUUUGUGUCGUACAUCUUGGGUAACAAUUGUGCCUUUGUUUUCCACUCCUGGUCUUUCUAGCUAGUCAUAUUUUUGCUGCCUAAGUUGCUUUAUACAUUUUCAUACAUUGGACUGUCACUAUGGUAUUUAAUAAACAUUCAUUUACCUAUCAACUCCCCCCGUUUUUUUUUUUUUUGGUCUUUUCAGGGCCACA
rnacentral:lncRNA from 1 species